CCCCGGGAGCCCCUCCUCAAGAUUUAAUUUCCCUGAGGCCCAGGGGAAGAUGCUCGCUGGGUUUUUGGAGGAGACAUGAUGUAAAUUACGCUUCUGAGACAGCAGGGACACCACUAUCCUCUCGCGACGUCUCACUUGCUCUGCCAAUCACCUGAGUAGGAAAACAGAACCCGAAGAGAUGGCGCGGGAGUUGGGGUUGGGGUGGAGGUGUUGGGGGGAGCGUGUGGCCCACUGGAUAUCGGUUACCAGCCCUGGGUUCGAUCCCCAUCUGGUAUGCUGCGGCGCUGCAGUGGUAGGAUGGAGGCGGUGGGCUAUCCUCGGCGUCAAAGUGAAUUCAAGGCAAGCCUGGGUUAAGUGAGAAUGAAAUGAAGCGAAGAUGGGAAAAAUAACUCUGCCUUUGAUGAAAUGCACGCUCAUAUAACCCAAACCGCACCCAUGCAUGCUGCGGUUCAGACCCUCACUGAUGAGUCUGUCCGCUGUCUGGGCUCCUACUUGGAAGCCUGCUCCAGGUAAAUGGAUGCUCCAGACAUCCCCCUGCUUUCCUAACCCGUAACUGACCAGCCCGGACGCUUCCAUCCCCCUCCCUACAGGCCGCUACUCCCUCCAGCCCACCGGACCUGCUUUCUCUCAAAGCCCUAUAGUUUCCUUCU
rnacentral:lncRNA from 1 species